rnacentral:rRNA from 1 species
GAUGAACGCUGGCGGCGUGCCUAAUACAUGCAAGUCGAGCGAACGGACGAGAAGCUUGCUUCUCUGAUGUUAGCGGCGGACGGGUGAGUAACACGUGGAUAACCUACCUAUAAGACUGGGAUAACUUCGGGAAACCGGAGCUAAUACCGGAUAAUAUUAUGAACCGCAUGGUUCAAAAGUGAAAGACGGUCUUGCUGUCACUUAUAGAUGGAUCCGCGCUGCAUUAGCUAGUUGGUAAGGUAACGGCUUACCAAGGCAACGAUGCAUAGCCGACCUGAGAGGGUGAUCGGCCACACUGGAACUGAGACACGGUCCAGACUCCUACGGGAGGUAGCAGUAGGGAAUCUUCCGCAAUGGGCGAAAGCCUGACGGAGCAACGCCGCGUGAGUGAUGAAGGUCUUCGGAUCGUAAAACUCUGUUAUUAGGGAAGAACAUAUGUGUAAGUAACUGUGCACAUCUUGACGGUACCUAAUCAGAAAGCCACGGCUAACUACGUG